ensembl:lncRNA
UUGGUCCUGCUUUUGCGUUUGACAGCAUCACCAUUGUAAAAUUACCUUUUCUGUUGAAGCCUUUAGGAUACCUUCAUGAAGGCUUCCAGGGAAUGAAAGGUAUGAUAUGUUUCUAUAACUGAAUAAUCUAAGUGCUAAAGGGAAAUACAGUGAUGGCUGAAAAUCUGCAAAAGGAGUACUUUUCCCUGCACAAACAUGAAAAGGAGGUGUUUUAGACAUCUGCUGAAAAUGAAUGACAGYCUCCCCAGGCGUGCGAGGAAGCCGUGCCUGGGAAACUGCGCUGCUCGAGCCAUUGCUCAAGCCAAUGGGAACCAGCUUGUCCAAGCUGCAGACGAGCCCGGAGCGGCAGGCGGGCAGGCCUCUGGGGGACCUGUCACCGUCUGUUCUGAAGGGUAUGGCCGGUGACUUUUUAAACCAAAAGCCACGGUGUCGGGCUGAGGAGGGCAGUGCAGCAGCCCGCRGUGCCAGCAGGGAGGUUACCCGUUCCUGGGUGCCGUGUACUUGUGGCUACACACCCUCCUCCCUGCGUGAGGCCAUAAACCUGACCUUCAUGCAGCUUUUGGAGUCUUUUCUUGCCCCCAGGGCUGGUUUAAUCAUUGGAGAGUAUAAAUUUACUUUAAGUCUCCAGUUUUGGAUUUAUUUCUUAGGAGAUAGGUUAAUUCCUAAAAGGAAAUAGCACAGACUUCUAAGUAACUCUCCCAGAGUUAGAAGUACACAGACUAAUUUAGUGUAGCUGCAAUACAGUAUUUUUAACAAUUAGUCCCUGCUAAUUACUUAAUUACACUGCCACUGGUGCAGCUAUGAAUAGAUGUCAAAUUCCGUUGCUCAGUGCAGCGACAGAAUUAAACCCACACGCAAUGAGAUAACGCUCCCUGCCCACACUCCCAACUUCCCCGCAGCUGCUACUACAGAAAAGWUGCAAAAUCGGAUCCCUUUAUCAGCCUUUUCCAAAAUAUUUUAUACCACAGCAYCAUUUUGAGAUCAUACCCUUUAGAGAGUCCCAAUUACACCUGCUGGUGAGCUGCAGCAAUCAGUGUAACUGYGGCCGCAGAUGUCGGUGUUUCUUGGACGCAUCAGGGCAGGUCCAUGUAUUUAGCAAUUCCUCAGCCCAGUUUGGGAUGUUCAGCUCUGCACAGCUCCUUGAUUACUGCAGUGUGAGCUCUUGGGAGCCCCCUUGCAUAUCCUGUGCAUAUGUUUGUGGGGGGAACAGUACGACUUGGGAAUACGAUAUAGCAUAACAGGUUAGUAGUUCCCAUUAACCAGAAACCGAUGCGCACGGUUACAGGCACCAGUCCUAUGUAUGCACGCUCAGAAGAAUAUAUAUCCAUGCCCAGUUCCAUGUGCCAUGGGGGUCUUGAUGCARCAAGUUUGUCCUUCACAUGUUAUUUGCAUACAUAUUUUCAAGAGACUCGGAGUAGAGACCCUCAGGCCUCGCAUUUUGCCUACUGAGGUCCGUAGGUGGUGCGGACAGGACUUGGGUCCCAAGACCCAGAGAGCAGAAGCCGGACAGCAGCUUUCCUCCUCCACCCUGACGCAGCUGAGGCCUGCCCAGGAGGAUGGGGAACCAGGCUGCUUGAACAUGUCCCGAGUCAGAGCUUUUUUUGGCAGCCCCCACGCUGGUGUCCCAUGAAGCUCUGGCAGGAGCUGGGCAUGGUCCUCCCAUUUCUUCAGCGGAG